rnacentral:rRNA from 1 species
UUUUAUUUGAGAGUUUGAUCCUGGCUCAGGAUGAACGCUGGCGGCGUGCCUAACACAUGCAAGUUGAGCGAUUUACUUCGGUAAAGAGCGGCGGACGGGUGAGUAACGCGUGGGUAACCUACCCUGUACACACGGAUAACAUACCGAAAGGUAUGCUAAUACGGGAUAAUAUAUUUGAGAGGCAUCUCUUAAAUAUCAAAGGUGAGCCAGUACAGGAUGGACCCGCGUCUGAUUAGCUAGUUGGUAAGGUAACGGCUUACCAAGGCGACGAUCAGUAGCCGACCUGAGAGGGUGAUCGGCCACAUUGGAACUGAGACACGGUCCAAACUCCUACGGGAGGCAGCAGUGGGGAAUAUUGCACAAUGGGCGAAAGCCUGAUGC